rnacentral:rRNA from 1 species
UACAGAGGGGGCUAGCGUUAUUCGGAAUUAUUGGGCGUAAAGGGCGCGUAGGCGGCCAUGCGUGUCUUCCGUGAAAUCCCUCGGCUUAACUGAGGACGUGCGGAAGAAACUGCAAGGCUCGAGUCCGGGAGAGGGGGGUGGAAUUCCCAGUGUAGCGGUGAAAUGCGUAGAUAUUGGGAGGAACACCGGUGGCGAAGGCGGCCCCCUGGACCGGUACUGACGCUGAGGUGCGAAAGCGUGGGGAGCAAACAGG